rnacentral:rRNA from 1 species
UACGUAGGGCGCAAGCGUUAUCCGGAAUUAUUGGGCGUAAAGAGCUCGUAGGCGGUUUGUCGCGUCGGCCGUGAAAACUUGGGGCUUAACCCCAAGCUUGCGGUCGAUACGGGCAGACUUGAGUUCGGCAGGGGAGACUGGAAUUCCUGGUGUAGCGGUGAAAUGCGCAGAUAUCAGGAGGAACACCGGUGGCGAAGGCGGGUCUCUGGGCCGAUACUGACGCUGAGGAGCGAAAGCGUGGGGAGCGAACAGG